AUUCCAGCUCCAAUAGCGUAUAUUAAAGUUGUUGCAGUUAAAAAGCUCGUAGUUGGAUUUCUGGCGGGAGUCCGGGUCGGCCUUAACGGGUUGCACUGUUGUGACGUCUCGCCGUUUCGAGGGGAAUGGGCUCGCUAUUAGGUUAGUGUGUUCGGGAACCUCGUCGUUUACUGUGAAAAAAUUAGAGUGUUCAAAGCAGGCCUUUGCUGUGAAUACAUUAGCAUGGAAUAAUAAGAUAGGACUGUAGUGCUAUUUUGUUGGUUUGCGUACUAUGGUAAUGAUUAAUAGGGAUAGUUGGGGGUAUUCAUAUUCAAUUGUCAGAGGUGAAAUUCUUGGAUUUAUGGAAGAUGAACUACUGCGAAGCAUUUACCAAGGAUGUUUUCAUUG
rnacentral:rRNA from 1 species